rfam:Burkholderia latens strain AT17928 chromosome 1, complete sequence.
UUAAACGGGAAACAGGAGGCGGAAAGCCGCCCGGCCUGUGCUGUCCCCGCAACGGUACGCCGCCCGCGCGCCGCGGUUCCCCCGCACGCGCCCAGGCCGCCCGCGAUGCCACUGCCCUCCGGGGCGGGAAGGCUGCGGCCUGGCAAGCGGCCAGCCCGGAUACCG